rnacentral:rRNA from 1 species
UACGAAGGGGGCUAGCGUUGUUCGGAUUCAUUGGGCGUAAAGGGUGCGCAGGUGGCGUGGUAAGUCGGGUGUGAAAUCUCGAAGCUUAACUCCGAAACUGCAUUCGAUACUGCCGUGCUUGAGGACUGGAGAGGAGACUGGAAUUUACGGUGUAGCGGUGAAAUGCGUAGAUAUCGUAAGGAAGACCAGUGGCGAAGGCGGGUCUCUGGACAGUUCCUGACGCUGAGGCACGAAGGCCAGGGGAGCAAACGGG